rnacentral:rRNA from 1 species
CCUACGGGUGGCAGCAGUGGGGAAUAUUGCACAAUGGGGGAAACCCUGAUGCAGCGACGCCGCGUGAAGGAAGAAGGUUUUCGGAUCGUAAACUUCUAUCAGCAGGGAAGAAGAAAGUGACAGUACCUGACUAAGAAGCCCCGGCUAACUACGUGCCAGCAGCCGCGGUAAUACGUAGGGGGCAAGCGUUAUCCGGAAUCACUGGGUGUAAAGGGUGCGUAGGCGGUAGGGCAAGUCAGAUGUGAAAGCCCGGGGAUAAAACCCGGGAUUGCAUUUGAAACUGUCUUACUAGAGUGCAGGAGAGGAAAGCGGAAUUUCUGGUAUGGCGGAGAGAUGCGUAGAUAACGGGAGGAACACCAGCUGCGAAGGCGGCGCACUGGACUGUAACUGACGCCGGGGCACGAAUGCGUGGGGAGCGAGCAGGCUUAGAUGCACUAGUGGUC